AUACUUACUUGACAGGGAGGACACCACGAUCAUGAAGGUGGCUUUCCCAGGGCGAGCCUUACCUUGCUGGUCCAGUUGUGCUAACCCCUGUGAUUUCGCCAAAUGUGGGAAACUCGACUGCAUUAUUGGUGGUACUGCAGGACUGCAUUUGCUCUUUCCAC
ensembl:snRNA U1 U1 spliceosomal RNA